CCUCCUGGUGAUGCUCACGCUGUGCUAAGUGUCGGUGGCCAUCAAGGUUUUUGCAUCCUGGGGACGAAUCCUGACCUUGCCAGAGACGGACAUCGAAAGGUCCGGCCUCUGUUCCCCUGUGAGGAGCAGCCACGGCCCAGCAAGAUGUCCCGGCACCACAGCCGCUUCGAACGAGAUUACCGCGUGGGCUGGGACCGCCGAGAGUGGAGCGCCAACGGUACGCAUGGGACCACCAGCAUCUGCAGCGCCACCGCGGGGGCCGGUGGCGGCUCAGCCAGUAGCCUCAGCGCCCGGCCCGGCCUCUUGCCGCUGCCCGUGGUGCCGUCCCGGCUGCCCACGCCCGCCACCGCCCCGGCUCCCUGCACUACCGGCAGCAGUGAGGCCAUCACCAGCCUCGUGGCCAGCUCUGCCUCCGCCGUCACCACCAAGGCUCCCGGCAUCUCCAAAGCGGAUAGUCAGUCCCAGGGACUCACGACCAGCAUCCGGUGGGGGCAGACGCCCAUCAAUCAGUCCACGCCCUGGGACACUGAUGAGCCGCCCUCCAAACAGAUGAGGGAGAGCGACAAUCCAGGCACAGGGCCAUGGGUGACCACGGUGGCCGCCGGGAACCAGCCUGCCCUGAUCGCACACUCCUAUGGAGUGGCCCAGCCUCCUACCUUCAGCCCGGCUGUGAACGUCCAGGCCCCAGUCAUUGGGGUGACCCCCUCACUGCCUCCCCACGUGGGGCCCCAGCUCCCGCUGAUGCCAGGCCACUACUCGCUCCCACAGCCACCCUCUCAGCCGCUGAGUAGCGUGGUGGUCAACAUGCCGGCCCAGGCCCUGUACGCCAGCCCACAGCCCCUGGCCAUGUCCACACUGCCUGGCGUGGGGCAGGUGGCCCGUCCGGGACCCACUGCCGUGGGCAACGGCCACAUGGCAGGGCCCCUGCUGCCUCCACCAGCACCAGCCCAGCCGUCUGCCACCCUCCCCAGCGGUGCCCCUGCCACCAAUGGGCCCCCCACGACUGACUCGGCCCAUGGGCUGCAGAUGCUGCGGACAAUUGGCGUGGGGAAGUAUGAGUUCACCGACCCUGGGCACCCCAAAGAAAUGUUGAAGGAAUUGAACCAGCAGCGCAGAGCGAAAGCGUUUACAGACCUGAAAAUUGUUGUUGAAGGCAGAGAGUUUGAAGUCCACCAAAAUGUUCUAGCUUCCUGCAGCUUGUAUUUCAAGGACCUGAUUCAAAGGUCGGUGCAAGAUGGCAGCCAGUGUGGCCGGGAGAAGCUGGAGCUCGUCCUGUCCAACCUGCAGGCCGAUGUCCUUGAACUGCUCCUGGAGUUUGUCUACACGGGCUCCCUGGUCAUCGACUCGGCCAAUGCCAAGACGCUGCUGGAGGCCGCCAGCAAGUUCCAGUUCCACACCUUCUGCAAAGUCUGUGUGUCCUUUCUCGAGAAGCAGCUGACGGCCAGCAACUGCCUGGGGGUCCUGGCCAUGGCUGAGGCCAUGCAGUGCAGCGAGCUCUACCACAUGGCCAAGGCCUUUGCGCUGCAGAUCUUCCCUGAGGUGGCGGCCCAGGAGGAGAUCCUCAGCAUCUCCAAGGACGACUUCAUCGCCUACAUCUCCAAUGACAGCCUCAACACGAAGGCCGAGGAACUAGUAUAUGAGACCGUCAUCAAGUGGAUCAAGAAGGACCCCGUGGCCCGUGCACAGUAUGCCGCAGAGCUCCUGGCCGUGGUCCGCCUCCCCUUCAUCCACCCCAGCUAUCUGCUCAACGUGGUUGACAACGAGGAGCUGAUCAAGUCGUCAGAAGCGUGUCGGGACCUGGUCAACGAGGCCAAACGCUACCACAUGCUGCCCCACGCCCGCCAGGAGAUGCAGACACCCCGAACCCGGCCCCGCCUCUCUGCAGGUGUGGCUGAGGUCAUCGUCUUGGUUGGGGGCCGUCAGAUGGUGGGGAUGACCCAGCGCUCACUGGUGGCCGUCACCUGCUGGAACCCACAGAACAACAAGUGGUACCCCCUCGCCUCACUGCCCUUCUAUGACCGAGAGUUCUUCAGCGUAGUGAGUGCCGGGGACAACAUCUACCUCUCAGGUGGGAUGGAAUCAGGGGUGACGCUGGCCGAUGUCUGGUGCUACAUGUCCCUGCUCGAUAACUGGAACCUCGUCUCCAGAAUGACGGUCCCCCGCUGCCGGCACAACAGCCUUGUCUACGAUGGGAAGAUUUACACCCUCGGGGGACUUGGCGUGGCGGGCAACGUGGACCACGUGGAGAGGUAAUGAGGCCACAGUCACGAAAGCUAAAAUCACUUUGCUCCUCUACCCCAGCACCAACCCAGCCGAGGCCGACUGGAGACGGGACAUUUAGAGGGCAAUAGUCCCAGGCUCUUCAAACACGGCAAAGGGAGAGGACCGAGGGUGGUGAGAGGGAAGCAGGAAUGAUGACGGCUGGCCCAGCCGCUGAGAUGGGGCACUCUUGUCCCGUUCAGGGGUCAGACAAGCUGGAGGCAUAGUGGUGCAAAGGCACAGGAUGGGCGCGGCUGGCCUGACCGGGCAGCUAGGAGGCGCACUGGCACUGGAAGUCCCAGCCCAGAGCGGCGCUGAGACAUGGGGCAAAGCUGCAAGCAAUGGCCCAAAUGUGUGCCACGUCAGUGGCUGUGACUCCAGAUCCCUGCCGAGCGGGAGGUUCCACACCAGGGAGCCCCUUCCUCCCUCUUUCCCACACAUCCCAGGAAACCUGCUUGCCACACGGGGAACAGUCACUGCAUGCAGGUCUGGCCAACCGUCUGGAAUUCUCUAGAAUACAAAGUAAUGGGCCGGAGAGCCAUGCGUGUAAGCCUGCCCUCUGCUGGAAAUCCCAGGCUGGCUUCCUCACUGAGGCCCAUUUAAAACUGGCCACGCGUAGUGUAGGGAUCAGGUGGAGGCAGAAGGGGCGUAGGCUGGAGGUGGGCACUUCGCGGGGUGCAAAGACCAUCUUUUCCUUUGAGCUGGAGCCCACCCUUGCAGAGGACGGACACUGUGGGGAGAAGCCACAGAAAGAGCUCAGGAAGGCUCAUGAGUCAGCAGCAAACAGGGGAGGCCUCAGUGCAGUCCUGCUCUGUGAGAAAAAAGUGCCCAGAGAGCCCCAAGUCAGACCGAGCUGCUCCCCAAGGACCGGCCCAGGAGGUCACAGCUCCGGUCCCCAGAGCUCUUUUUCCACAUCCUUCCCAUGUGCUUGCCCACCACCCUUGGCCCACGUCAUCAGCUGUCACAGAAUGCACAUCUUCCCGUGCGGCAGCUUUCUGCCUGUGGACCCUCACGUACCCCUCAAUUUGUAUUUUUUCCCUCAGUGGCUAAUUGGACACUUGACAAAUGUUACAGCAAAGAUAGUUUCAGAGUGAGACGAGCUCUGGAUAUUCACUGUGGGCUUUUAACUCCCCCAAGUGGAGCCCAGAGAUGGCUCAGUAACAACAUCUAAUUGUCAUAUUGAUUUGGAGAUAAUGGGGAAUCCCUGUGUGGUUAUGAGGAUAUUAAUACUGCUGUUGAACCCGGGUCACCCCUGAUGCUGACAGCUUUCAGUGGGACCCACUGCACGGCCAUCACGUCCCAAGCCUUCCAGAAGCACCAGCUCCCAACCGUUUGUCAUCCAAUAAUAAACACAUGAAAAAGACAUUUUCUAUGUAGGAGUAAACUGAGCUAGACCUGUCAUCCUGUCUUGCUUUUGUCAGCUAUUUUUAAUCUCCUAAGAUGCUGAUUACUCAUUUUGCAAACUUAUACUUGUUGAUAAAUACAGGGAUUUGUUCAAGGAUCAAAUGCACGAAGAGGGGGGACAGGCUCCGCUCCCCCUGGGCUCAAGAGCAAUUCUCCAAGGCCUGGAAGCAGUCUGUACUGGCCUUCCCUGGGGGCUGGGCCUUCGUUCCACUGUGAAAUACCCGCCCGCUCGAGCACAGUGUGAGCAAAGCACCCCAGGAACUUUAGGAGAUGGGGAGCCCCCCAGGACAACAGGGUGCCCAGAGCCCUUCCUCAGCCCUCUGGUAGACCUCUGGGUGGUAUGCAUACCAAUGGGGUGGAGGACACAGGCAGAGGAGACGUGCACUGCUUCCCGAGGAACGGAACGUAGCUGGAGCCCCUUUGGGCAAGGAAUUUCUGUGCCACAUGGUGGCGAUGAGAAUUCAGGGUGACAAGAAGGUCAGGGUAAUGGGGACAGACACGAGGGUGCUUUGUUCCCCAGAAAGCGCUAAUGGUACAAAUUGCUCUUAUAUUGAUAAUGAAUGAGAUAUAUGGUACAUUAUAAUUAUAUUACAUUACUGUAUUACAGGAAUAGAGCAAGAUUAUAUAAUUAUAGAUUAAAACAACAGUGCCAUAGACAAGCCUGUAUUAUAUCAUUAUAUAAAUAACUGGGUCUAAUACUUCAUAGCAAUAUAUUGCACUAGCUGUGGUUACCGGAUAAAUGAUAGCAGAGUGCCUCACUCCACAGGGUCAUUUGCAUGUCAUUAGCAUAUCCUUCUCAAGCAGGAAGCUGACAGAUUGAGCUGACGGAGGGCUUGUGGCUUGGCAAUCAGCCACCUGGAAUAACAAACUCUCGGGAAAUUCGCAUUUGGCGGAAUGUGCCAUUAUACCGAAAGCCUGAAGACAGCCACAUAAUCUUCCACUGUCACCCAGCUCUUCUGCAGGAGCUCUUUGGAUCUCUGCCAUGUUGGCUUAAAAAACAGAUAUCUGAACUUCUGACACUGUCCAAAAAGACACUUACUGCAUUGCCUAUUAAGCCACAUAUCAUUCGACUGGGGCUUAACUGAAUCAGCGCCUGCUGCCCUGUAAGGUACUUCAGCCGCUUCUCAAACCCGGAGUCUUCCCAGGCACAGAGCUGGACGUCCCAUCCCUGUCCCCUCAUCCCUGUCUCAGAGCCAGGAGCACCGGCUAAGAGAGGCCAUCUUCUGGAUCACUAAGCUGUGACCGUGUUAUGGCCCGUGUCCCAGGGAGGCUGCUGGGAAAAAGUGGGCCCUGUGUGCUUCACAGGAAAGGUGUGCUGGGAAAAACCCAGACCACAGCGGAGGCCCCACCUUGGGUCCGGAACACGCGAAAGAGCCAUGUGGUGAGCGGUAGAUCGGCCACCAAGUGGAAGGUCCAGAGUGAAUGCUGGUGAGACCAGCCCUCUAGGAACAAUUGACAGAGACGCCGAGAACUGAGAUCCAAGCUGUCCAGGAAGACCUCAGAUACCCCAGUUCCUUGGCUGAUCUGCUCCAUCCCCAAUCUCUCCCCAUCAGCUGCUUCCUGUCACUUUUGUCCCUGCCUUGUCCGGUACUCGCACUCUAUCGCUUCUCCAUGUUCUUACUUUGCUACUUUGUCCUGUAGUACACGUGUCACAGAUCUGUUCAGCCCUGACUCGUCCCCUUCUCCACGCCUACCCCCGGGGGCUGAACACUGGUGGAGAAAAUCCCACUGUCCAGUAGAUUGGCCCCAUGACAAAGUGAAGUCGUCCAACGAAUACUGGGUCCUUCAUGCUGCAGGGUCCUGUCAGCGGUUUCUCUCGCUCUCAAGAGCGUGUGGUUCUCGUCUCCUCCUCCCCGAUCAAGGCUCUGAGCCCACAGACUCCAAUACUCCUGCCGGCACUGACUCCUACUUCACAGAGAAGGUGGAGCCCUCAAUCAACAACUCUCUGGUGUCCCUGCCGUCACUUCUGCAUAUGUACUGACGCUCAUGCCAUCCUUGCCUUCCUCUCUCCCACCCACACGGACACCACUUCCCUCUCCACUCUGGACCCUACCUGCAUCUCCCCACCAGGAGCCUCCUUUGAUCAGCCCUCCCCUCUCUUUCAUAUAUAUUUAAUCUUUUUCUUAUCCAUUUGGCCUCCUUCCUGUCGGCACAUUAAACACAAGUAAGCCCUUCCCCCUAAAAUUAAAACAAAAACCGUGGUAUGCCGUAGCUCGUUCAUACUGGCUCCCAAGAGGUGACUACUACCUUUAUAGGAAUUCUGCAAGCCAGUUGUUAGCUACAGGUGUUAUUAAAAAUCAAAUCAUAUAAACUUAGAACUAAAUAAGUUACAUUAAAAACAAAGGAAAUCCAUACUCAAAACUCAUCACUGCUUUUUUUUUUUUUUAACUAUAUUUUUCACUGUCUAUGCUCUGGAGGUGAUAUGUCCACUGUGUCUGUAUAUGGGUAUAUGGUGGAUAUUCUGACUGGCAGUGUCCUCUUCCCAAUGCCACAUUCAGCCAUGAGCCAUCGGUAGCUUGAAAUCAGCCAAGAUGAGAGGAUUUACAUCACAGAAAUCAGCAAGUGCUUACAUAUCAGGACUCUUUUCCCCUAGCAAGCUUGUUUUUAAACACUUCUCAGCAUACCACCGACAAAAGCCAUCUCUUAGCUCCAUAUGCCUUCUUAGGUCCCACCUUCUCUGCCCCUUUCCCAGCUAAGUUUCAUCCAAGAGAAGUCCCCCCAUCGUGUCUACUGCCUCCCUCUCAUUCACUUCGUGAUUCACAACUAGCUCUUGACGAGAGCGCCGGGAACCCGUCUGGGACUUCUUUGACCUCCUGCCAUAUCCCCCACCCGUGGAGCUGUGUGCCCCCUGUGCUGCCGCCACUUCCCCGGGGACCCCCUCAGCUCCCCUCUUAGAGGCCAGCAUUUCCUCAGAGUGCCCUCUGUUCCUCAGUCUUACUCUUGCCUACGCAGCCCCUGUAAGCUCCUCUCCCUUCAGUUUCCAGCUCUGUGCCAACAGCGACCCCUCGGCUGCACAUCUAGGCCACAGAUCCGUAUAUCCAACGCCCCACUGCACAUCCCCGGUCUGUUACCCACAGAUGCCUUAAACUCCCCAUGAAUAAAACAGAAAUCAUCACUCUCCUCCAAACUCCCCAACCUCGAUUCCCUGUCCCCCGGGUAGCACCCCCUCCAUCCAACUUCCCAAGCCAGAGACCCUGAGUCAUCCUAGGUGACUCUACCUUCCUUAACGGCAACAUCAGUUAAUGACUGAACCCUGUCAGGUCACCUCUCCUGUUCCCACCUCCUCUCGUCCUUCCCUGGUCCAGCCCACUGCUUCCCCAGCUUCCAGCCCAGAGCCUGGGUAGACGGCAGAUGCUCAGUGCAGAACCGUCCGACAAAAGGGUAGGAAUGAGCUGGAUAGAAACGGAUACAGGGGCCUAGAAGCUGGGGAGCUCUGUGGGAGCAGAAGAAUGGAGACCAGAAUCUGCACAGAGGCAAGAAAGAGCCCACUGGGGUUCAGGAGGAAGGCUGAGAGGGCUACAUCUCUUAUAC